rnacentral:rRNA from 1 species
GACGAACGCUGGCGGCGUGCCUAAUACAUGCCAGUAGAACGCUGAAGGAGGAGCUUGCUCUUCUGGAUGAGUUGCGAACGGGUGAGUAACGCGUAGGUAACCUGCCUGGUAGCGGGGGAUAACUAUUGGAAACGAUAGCUAAUACCGCAUAAGAGUAGAUGUUGCAUGACAUUUACUUAAAAGGUGCAAUUGCAUCACUACCAGAUGGACCUGCGUUGUAUUAGCUAGUUGGUGGGGUAACGGCUUACCAAGGCGACGAUACAUAGCCGACCUGAGAGGGUGAUCGGCCACACUGGGACUGAGACACGGCCCAGACUCCCACGGGAGGCAGCAGGAGGGAAUCUUCGGCAAUGGACGGAAGUCUGACCGAGCAACGCCGCGUGAGUGAAGAAGGGUUUCGGAUCGUAAAGCUCUGUUGUAAGAGAAGAACGAGUGUGAGAGUGGAAAGUUCACACUGUGACGGUAUCUUACCAGAAAGGGACGGCUAACUACGUG